AAUCGAACUCCAUGCUUCUUUACUCCCCAUAUUGCUGUCAAAUGUUAUGGAAUGUAAAGAAGUAUGUACUGCGAUU
rnacentral:pre_miRNA from 1 species